UACGUAGGGGGCUAGCGUUGUCCGGAAUCAUUGGGCGUAAAGCGCGUGUAGGCGGUCCGGUAAGUCCGCUGUGAAAGUCGGGGGCUCAACCCUCGGAUGCCGGUGGAUACUGUCGGGCUUGAGUACGGAAGAGGCGAGUGGAAUUCCUGGUGUAGCGGUGAAAUGCGCAGAUAUCAGGAGGAACACCAAUUGCGAAGGCAGCUCGCUGGGACGGUACUGACGCUGAGACGCGAAAGCUAGGGGAGCAAACGGG
rnacentral:rRNA from 1 species